GACGGGUGAGUAACGCGUGGGUAACCUGCCUCAUACACACGGAUAACAUACCGAAAGGUAUGCUAAUACAAGAUGAUAUAAGAGAUUCGCAUGGUUUUCUUAUCAAAGCUCCGGCGGUAUGAGAUGGACCCGCGUCUGAUUAGCUAGUUGGUAAGGUAACGGCUUACCAAGGCGACGAUCAGUAGCCGACCUGAGAGGGUGAUCGGCCACAUUGGAACUGAGACACGGUCCAAACUCCUACGGGAGGCAGCAGUGGGGAAUAUUGCACAAUGGGCGAAAGCCUGAUGCAGCAACGCCGCGUGAGCGAUGAAGGCCUUCGGGUCGUAAAGCUCUGUCCUCAAGGAAGAUAAUGACGGUACUUGAGGAGGAAGCCCCGGCUAACUACGUGCCAGCAGCCGCGGUAAUACGUAGGGGGCUAGCGUUAUCCGGAAUUACUGGGCGUAAAGGGUGCGUAGGUGGUUUCUUAAGUCAGAGGUGAAAGGCUACGGCUCAACCCCGGUAGUAAGCCUUUGAAACUGGGAAACUUGAGUGCAGGAGAGGAGAGUGGAAUUCCUAGUGUAGCGGUGAAAUGCGUAGAUAUUAGGAGGAACACCAGUUGCGAAGGCGGCUCUCUGGACUGUAACUGACACUGAGGCACGAAAGCGUGGGGAGCAAACAGGAUUAGAUACCCUGGUAGUCCACGCCGUAAACGAUGAGUACUAGCUGUCGGAGGUUACCCCCUUCGGUGGCGCAGCUAACGCAUUAAGUACUCCGCCUGGGAAGUACGCUCGCAAGAGUGAAACUCAAA
rnacentral:rRNA from 1 species